AUCCUACCACCCUGAAAACUCCUGAUCUCAUAUGAUUUGGGAACUUGCACAGGAUUGGACUAGGUUAGUACCUAGAUGGAGACCAACUGGGAAUGACUGGGAU
rnacentral:rRNA from 1 species